rnacentral:rRNA from 2 species
UUCCUACGGGAGGCUGCAGUGGGGAAUAUUGGACAAUGGGCGCAAGCCUGAUCCAGCCAUGCCGCGUGAGUGAUGAAGGCCUUAGGGUUGUAAAGCUCUUUCACCGGAGAAGAUAAUGACGGUAUCCGGAGAAGAAGCCCCGGCUAACUUCGUGCCAGCAGCCGCGGUAAUACGAAGGGGGCUAGCGUUGUUCGGAAUUACUGGGCGUAAAGCGCACGUAGGCGGAUAUUUAAGUCAGGGGUGAAAUCCCAGAGCUCAACUCUGGAACUGCCUUUGAUACUGGGUAUCUUGAGUAUGGAAGAGGUAAGUGGAAUUCCGAGUGUAGAGGUGAAAUUCGUAGAUAUUCGGAGGAACACCAGUGGCGAAGGCGGCUUACUGGUCCAUUACUGACGCUGAGGUGCGAAAGCGUGGGGAGCAAACAGGAUUAGAUACCCCAGUAGUC